rnacentral:rRNA from 1 species
UACGGAGGAUGCAAGCGUUAUCCGGAAUGAUUGGGCGUAAAGGGUCCGCAGGUGGCAUUGUAAGUCUGCUGUCAAAGAAUGAGGCUUAACCUCAUCAAGGCAGUGGAAACUACAUAGCUAGAGUACGGUCGGGGUAGAAGGAAUUCCUGGUGUAGCGGUGAAAUGCGUAGAGAUCAGGAAGAACACCGGUGGCGAAAGCGUUCUGCUAGACCUGUACUGACACUGAGGGACGAAAGCUAGGGGAGCGAAUGGG